AUUAUUUAGCUAAGAUGGUAGUUUACUUCUCUGCAAAGACAGAAUUGAAAAAUCUUGCGUUGUAGUCUCUUGCCGUUACUGUCAAAACAAGGCCCUCGAGGAAUACCGUAUAUCCCAAUUAUUCGUUUAAUUAAUUAAUUUGUAUUAUUAUUUAUUAUAUUUAUAGUGCAAGAUACAUCCAAGCUUAUUCUGUUUUUGGAACUAUACUGUUGUGGACUAAAAGUUUAUCAAAUAAAACCGGGACUUUAAGACUCUUCAUUUUUUACAGUGUACACCCAAACUCAGCAUAAAGACCCACUCAGACACACAAGAGGUGAAGGAUACUGUUAUUAAUGGAUAAAGAGGAGCAGCAGCAGUCAGUAGGUAGUGUAGGAUCUGUUGUUAG